UGUAAGGAUGGUAAUCUGCCUG
rnacentral:piRNA from 1 species